UGAUCAAAGAUCUGGAAAUGGACUUUACACAGAGAGGCCCUCAUGGAUUAUGGGACCAUUAAAAGGGGACUGUGUGGAAUUUUCAAGCCUUUGGAAUUGAAUGUGAAAACUUUGCUUGAAUAGUCAAGAACAGCUAAAAAAAGGGGAAGGAAAAGGGGGAGGAAAACUGACCAUUUCUAGUUUGAACCAGGUGAAGACAAAUGGACCUUACAAGACCAACCAGUGUUUAAUCUUGGAUAAACACUGUGGAUACAGGAACAUUUAAAAAUUGUUGAUGUAAAAACAACUAUAGCUAAUUUCGAGGGAGGAAAAAGGACCAUGUACAGUCAGCAGUGGGCACAACACAUUGCAUCUGUAAGGCAAGUAUACCAAACUCACAGUAUUAGUUUGAUAAUAUAAUACACUGUCUUUACUCCAGUUUGGCACUAAAUCUCUAUGACCAGUCAUAUUGCACAUAGUUAACAAAGGUGUCAGCUAACUAUUAAACUACUAAACCAACUCUUCCCUCUUGUGAUGUUGUGAGGAGAGCGGUCUUGCUAGCAAAGCUAAUGACUGAGGUGAGCUUAGGGGUUUUACCCUUUAAGCUACCUGCACAUAAUACUUAGCAUUCAGUACACAUGCUUCUUUGUAUGUAGACAGGCUUAUCUAUUAAAGUGUCACCUGUACUCACACAGACUUGCUUUUCUUUUUCUCAGCAGACUCAUUAUAUGACUUGUUGGUGUCAAGUGUAUUGUGAAAAGAAGCACGUUGGUGAGGUCAGACACUCAUGUUGGACGAGAAGGCCUGGCUCGCAGUCUCCGCUCUAAUUUAUCCCAGUGUUGUUCUGUCAGCUUGAGUUCAGGACUCUGUGCAGUUCAUUUGUGAACCUCCACUCAUGUGCUCCGUGCUUCUGAAGAAGUUUGGAUUUUGCUGUUAAUUUUUCCCUCUGUGGACUUCAGCAUACAUCCUGAUUCAAGCAGACACCUCUUCAAGAUACAUCCCAGCAAAAGAUGAAAAAAGGAAGAAGAACACUUAAAGCAGGCAGCUGGUGGUCAUAUUUCCCUGAAUCUGUGUGAAUCUGUUUUUAUCUGUGAAGAGGACAGGAUGCAAGUGACAGACCACCCAUUUCUGGUAUCCUCUGGGGAAUUCCAAUCGAUUUGCAUGGUGCUGGGCUGUGAGCACAAGUCCCACAAGACUGGCAGUGUUUUAUCUGUCCCUCCUUGCACAAAGAAGCAAACACUGGUCCUGCGGCUCGAUUGAUGCCCUUCUGCAGUUCUGUCCUGGUCUCCUUGUGUAAUCACCCAUGUCCUGGUAGCUCUACCACACUCUUGAGACUUUGUUUGGUUGGAGACACAACAAAAUUUCUAGCAAUGGAAUCUAUGGACAUGCCAUCCUGGUUGAGCUGGACUGCCUGUGCAACCUGAAUGAACGUGUACUGUCUCGUGCUACCAGUAGGAGAGAACAGUGGUCUAUGGCCACCUUUCCUUGAGGGUGUGAUUCAAACAUAACUUUGCUGUCUACAAAGGUCCAAACAUCUUCUACAGCACCAGAGAAACUUGUCAUGUUCAGUGACUCUAAGUUUAUGGUGCCUUUGGUUUUAUGGCUCAUUAAAAACCAUUUGGAAAAGAUAAUUUUUAUUUUUUAUAACUAAUUGUUAGAGGUUUUCUGUUGUGGUCCAUUUGUUAACAGAAUUAAAUGUUGACGAACAGGAGAUAAGUGUGUCCAAACUGUUUAAAAGUUGUCAUUGUAAAACAUAAUCUCAUCAUUCUCUACUUUAUGGCAUUUAACCACCAUGUAUUUGUUAAAAUUAUAAAAAAAAAUGAUGUGGUUGUACAGCAGCAACAGAAUUUUUAAAAAUGUUUUAAGGACAAAUAUAGCAAAAUAAAUGGUAGUAAUCCUGUACUACAGCACCUUGAGACAACUGUUUGUUAUGAUUUGGUGCUAUAUAAAUACAGUUGAAUUGAAAUUUAAUAUUAUGACGUUAUUAUACAAAGUAAAGCUAAUAUUUUCUUAAGUGCAACUCUUUUAACAUUCAUGUCCAUUAAAUACACAAUUUUAUGUGGAAUCAUAUCUGAUUAAGCCGUAUGUACUAAGAUCUGUAAUUAACAGUAAUUAUUGUAAUUACAAUAAUAUUUUUAAAAAGGUAAAUCCAUUAACUUUAUGUUGGAAAACACAUUAAAAAACCCUUUUACAGUUGAUAUAAUAAAAAAUGAAUAUAUUAUUAUA